rnacentral:rRNA from 1 species
AAUGAACGUUGGCGGCGUGGAUUAGGCAUGCAAGUCGUGCGAUAACCCCGCAAGGGGGGAAAGCGGCGAAAGGGAGAGUAACGCGUGGGUACCUGCCCCUUGGUCCGGAAUAGCUGCGGGAAACUGCAGGUAAUGCCGGAUAAUAUCCUCGGAUCAAAGGUGUGAUUCCGCCGAGGGAGGGGCCCGCGUUCUAUUAGCUAGUUGGUAGGGUAAUGGCCGACCAAGGCGACGAUGGAUACCGGGUGGGAGAGCAUGAACCCGGUCACUGGGACUGAGACACUGCCCAGACGCCGACGGGUGGCUGCAGUCGAGAAUCUUCGGCAAUGGGCGCAAGCCUGACCGAGCGACGCCGCGUGCGGGAUGAAGGCCUUCGGGUUGUAAACCGCUGUCGUAGAGGAGGAAAUGCCAUGGGGUUCGCUCCAUGGUUUGACCUAUUCUAGGAGGAAGGACGGGCUAAGUUCGUGCCAGCCGCCGCCGUAA